GACGAACGCUGGCGGCGUGCUUAACACAUGCAAGUCGAACGGAAAGGCCCUGCUUUUGUGGGGUGCUCGAGUGGCGAACGGGUGAGUAACACGUGAGUAACCUGCCCUUGACUUUGGGAUAACUUCAGGAAACUGGGGCUAAUACCGGAUAGGAGCUCCUGCUGCAUGGUGGGGGUUGGAAAGUUUCGGCGGUUGGGGCUGGACUCGCGGCUUAUCAGCUUGUUGGUGGGGUAGUGGCUUACCAAGGCUUUGACGGGUAGCCGGCCUGGGAGGGUGACCGGCCACAUUGGGACUGAGAUACGGCCCAGACUCCUACGGGAGGCAGCAGUGGGGAAUAUUGCACAAUGGGCGGAAGCCUGAUGCAGCAACGCCGCGUGCGGGAUGACGGCCUUCGGGUUGUAAACCGCUUUCGCCUGUGACGAAGCGUGAGUGACGGUAAUGGGUAAAGAAGCACCGGCUAACUACGUG
rnacentral:rRNA from 1 species